ensembl:rRNA 5S_rRNA 5S ribosomal RNA
GCUUACGGCCAUACCACUCUGAAAAAGCCUGAUCUCAUCUGAACUCGGGAAGCAAAGCAGAGUUGGCCUGGUUAGUACUCGGUUGGAGACUGAAUGGAAUACUAGGUGCUGUAAGCU